GAGAGACCUAAGAGAGGCUAGUGUGAGUGAGUUUUGCGACCAGUGGUCACAAUGGAUGGCGCAUCAGCCACAGCUGAUGCAGACUGACUGUCUAAGGGGGAGGUGUGGUUGCCACCUGCCAAUCAUCCAGCAGGUUGGACCCAGCCCAUCACCUUCUGCUCACCCAACAAGCCCCACGGAGCCCACAGCUUGGUACGCACUCCUGCCUAAGCAACAAGGAGGAUAGGGACUGGCCUCACCCAUAGUCAGCGUCUACGUGGGCCCAAGAAACCGGUCAAGGACCAGCCAAGCCUUCACUUGCUGGGGACCUAGCAGGGUGCUGCUCUCCACCCCCGGGGCAGCAGAGAGGGCACUCGGAGGUGCUAUGGCCCAACAGGACCUGGGGAAGAGUGGAUUGGGGCAGGAAGAUGAGGAGAAGGGAAAAACCCUUCACAAGAGGGACCGCUUCCCCUUCCGGAGAGUGAAGACGCUGGACAGACGCCCGUGAUGUAAGGAGCGCUGCUGUCCUCAGAGGCUGGUCCAAGCACAGAGGAUGGCUGCCUUCCUCACCCUCCUGGUGGCCAGCCUGUCCCGUGACCUCACUAAGAACGCCGGGCCUCAUCCCCAGAGCCCAACGGCCGGGACACAGAGGGAGAUGCCAGAGAACAUUCGCGUGUGCCACCAGAGUGAGUGGCUUAUUGCCUCAGAGCAUGAGGCAGGCCUGGCUCUGUGGUCAGGCAGAACGGCGGUCUGGGCCUGCAGAGUUGAUGUAGGAGCCCCCAGCCAUCCUGCUCCACAGCUCAGCUCCUGCCUGCAUUCAACCUGCUGCCUGCUCCUGCCUGUCUCCGGGCAGCUCUGACCUCCUGCCUGGCUCCUCCCUGAGGACUGCGGCCUGGAGCUCUGCCGGUGUACGUUCCUGAGCUGGAUUUGGGUGAAGAGAGUUGGAGGGCACAGCAGGACACUCACAGGGCUCCUUGAAAUUGCCUUCGCCUGCUGCCCCCUGAGCCCAGCUCCCUGCCCGCUUAGGGUCCCUGCGCGGCAGUGCACACAGAUGCAUCCCCAAAAGAGUCACACCCAGGUGCGGCAGUACCAACCCAAGACCUUGCCCCAGAAGGACUGACUCGCCCUAUGACCCAGGGGUAAAUUUCCUUCCCUCUUGGAGCCUCAGUUUCCCCCAAAUGAAAAGUGUGAACUGUGUCGGUGGUUCUCACCUUUUGGUUGCACAUUUGAAUGUCCUGAAGAGCCCUUAAAAUCUCCAGCGCCUGACUCAACACUGCCAGAUCACAUAGGGUCAGCGUUGCUGCUCCUCAAAGUGGAUCCAUGGGAGCAGCAGCAAGGACAAGGGCGCUUGUUAGAAAUGCAAAAUCUCAAGCCCCGCCCCCACACCUCAAACCACAAAUCAGAAACUGGGGGGGGGGGGGGGAGCCUCCAGGGGAUUCUGGCACUGGCUAGAGUGCUGGGCCAAUCACCCUAAGUCCUUUGGGCUCUCCCCACGCUGCGUGCCUGCCGGGCCAGGCAGGACGGCGCGGGAUCCUGGCUCCGCGCUGGGCUCCUAGCCUGCACUGGGGCCUCAGCGCCUUCUCCAUCGAGAGGCCGGUGAAGCGGCUCCCUCCAGACGCUCGCCCGCAGGAAAUGAACGGCCGAGCGUGUAAAGCGCCGAGCCAUCGCAGGUGCUUAAUGAAAGUGAGCUCUGCCGGCUGAUUCAUGCUGCUAAUGUGAACACCGCCAGUCGGCAGCCAAGAUGCCGAACCUGCCACGUUUUGCUUCUGCAGAAGGGCAGAAAGACGGGGCAGGGCUUCGCACGGGAAUCAGAGGCCGAGUCUUGGAGAUCCCAGCCCGCCAUCUAGGCCAGGGUGCAACCGUGUCUGACCCCUGGAGGGGACCCGGAGCUGCGCGACAAAGGGGACGGAGACCAGGAAGGGGCGGCCUGGGGCACCCUCGGCGCGGGGGCCCUGCCUCAUCCAGCUCACUCGUGGCGCAGGCACACGCGGAAAGGGACCCAACCCAGAUCUACUGUGACGAGUGUCCCUGAAAGCGCCCCUCCGGGGCCAGGUUCCGGCCAGAUGGGGGUUCGAGUGGGGGUCCAGGUAGGGGUCCAGGUAGGGGGUCCGGGUCGUGGGUCCCGGUCGCCCAGGGCGCGGGGAGCCUGCAGUGCGCAGAGCCGGCCACCAGGUGGCAGCGCCACCACCACAAGGCCUGGUUGGGGGAGGCUCCCCCGUGGCUCCUUUGUCGCACCUUUUGGGGGGAUGGAAGGGAGCUGGUGGUGGGAAAGGAGCCCCGCGAGAGCUGGCGGAGCAGACUGCGCCCCAUGAGCAAAGUCAGGGCCCGUCGGGUGACCCCAGCGCCCAGAAACCGGACAUGCGCUCUCCGCCCCAGCCUGACAGCCCCGCCAGCGCGCUCCCCACCAAGCUUAAGCCGGCUCUUCAAACCCCGUCCUUGGACACACCCUUCAGGCUUUGCAAGUUCCUUGAGAACUUAAAGCUUUAUGUUUUUAUUGCAAUGAGUCUGAAAUAUAUCCUCCCAGAUCUGAGGAGAAAACUUUUGCAGAGAGCACUGACCAGGGAACUCCACUUUCCUAAAUAUCACCUUUUCUUAAUCCUUAUCCCUUAAACUGAACUCUAAGGGUUUGGGAGAUUUUCUCCAGGGUUCAAGAGAAACCAUUCCAUCCUAAGAGAUCCAUGCGUUUACUGGCGUUUAAUAAACGUUGGGCUCAAACUCA
rnacentral:lncRNA from 1 species